rnacentral:miRNA from 13 species
ACCUAACCCGGCUGCACUCCCU